UCAGAUUGAACGCUGGCGGCAGGCCUAACACAUGCAAGUCGAGCGGUAGAGAGAAGCUUGCUUCUCUUGAGAGCGGCGGACGGGUGAGUAAUGCCUAGGAAUCUGCCUGGUAGUGGGGGAUAACGUUNGGAAACGGACGCUAAUACCGCAUACGUCCUACGGGAGAAAGCAGGGGACCUUCGGGCCUUGCGCUAUCAGAUGAGCCUAGGUCGGAUUAGCUAGUUGGUGGGGUAAUGGCUCACCAAGGCGACGAUCCGUAACUGGUCUGAGAGGAUGAUCAGUCACACUGGAACUGAGACACGGUCCAGACUCCUACGGGAGGCAGCAGUGGGGAAUAUUGGACAAUGGGCGAAAGCCUGAUCCAGCCAUGCCGCGUGUGUGAAGAAGGUCUUCGGAUUGUAAAGCACUUUAAGUUGGGAGGAAGGGCAGUUGCCUAAUACGUAACUGUUUUGACGUUACCGACAGAAUAAGCACCGGCUAACUCUGUGCCAGCAGCCGCGGUAAUACAGAGGGUGCAAGCGUUAAUCGGAAUUACUGGGCGUAAAGCGCGCGUAGGUGGUUUGUUAAGUUGGAUGUGAAAUCCCCGGGCUCAACCUGGGAACUGCAUUCAAAACUGACUGACUAGAGUAUGGUAGAGGGUGGUGGAAUUUCCUGUGUAGCGGUGAAAUGCGUAGAUAUAGGAAGGAACACCAGUGGCGAAGGCGACCACCUGGACUAAUACUGACACUGAGGUGCGAAAGCGUGGGGAGCAAACAGGAUUAGAUACCCUGGUAGUCCACGCCGUAAACGAUGUCAACUAGCCGUUGGAAGCCUUGAGCUUUUAGUGGCGCAGCUAACGCAUUAAGUUGACCGCC
rnacentral:rRNA from 1 species